rnacentral:rRNA from 1 species
AACGAACGCUGGCGGCGCGUCUUAAACAUGCAAGUCGGACGAGAAGCUUGGUGCUUGCACCGAGUGGACAGUGGCGAACGGGUGAGUAACACGUGGAUAAUCUACCUUUAGGAUGGGGACAACUACUGGAAACGGUAGCUAAUACCGAAUAACAUGGUUUUUGCAUAGGUGAAGAUCAUUAAAGGCGGGGACCUUCGGGCCUGCCACCUAAAGAUGAGUCCGCGGCCCAUUAGCUAGUUGGUGGGGUAAAAGCCUACCAAGGCAACGAUGGGUAGCCGGCCUGAGAGGGUGAACGGCCACAUUGGGACUGAGACACGGCCCAG